UGCGCCAUCAUGCAGACAAUGACGUCUGCAGUUCUGCAGAGAAGCACCCGCAUAUGUGCGUGGACUCACCACCACCACCACCCUUCUUAUUCUCUCUCGCCUGGCCCACCCGCUACUCACCGUUUACGCACACCCACAGAGACGCGCGCACGCACCGGCACCACCUCCCUCGCCGAGCCAUGCAACGCCACCGGCAUGAAGCACAGCGAAACAAUGCAGGCGCUGAAGUACGCGCGGAGGGCGGGGAUGGAGCACGUGAGCGAAGAUCAAACAAGGUGGCUCGCACGGGCGGCUGUUGCGGCGGCAGUGCCGUUUGAUAAGUCGGCAGCGCGGUCCCUGUCGGCUCUCGCUCGCUCUCCGGUAAACUGCCGUCGGCAUCGCCAACACCGUCGGCUGCGCGAUGACCCGCCCAGCGCCACGGAUGGCGACUAGUCUCGCCGCUUGGCCCGAGCGCAGCGCGACGAGGCGGUGCGGAGAACGCUCUUCCCCCACUCCGUCUACUGCGUCUCCUUCUCUACGAGGUUGCUCGAUCUGAUCAGCAACUCUCAGCAUAGCAUGGUCAUCGCCGGCGCGAACUCGCUCAGCUUGACGCUCGGCAUAAGGCAUUGUGUGGGCUCUCAUCAUCUCCAUGAAGGCCUUUGCAGCCCUCCGCAUGUCGCACACCAUCUGCAUGACGCUCAGGUUCACCGGCACCAUCAUAGGCGUGCUCAUAUUGAGCUUCGUCGGCGACAUUGCCCGCGGCAACGACACCAACUUACUCGUCGUCUUUCUGAUCGGCAUCGCCUUCAUGGAGACAUCCUCCUCGUACGGCGAGACGGUAGACUUGUUGUUUGUACAGCGCUACCCGCCGCCCAUUGUCGGCACGGGGGAGGGGGAGGGGUACGGGUAUCUCCGGCGCCAUCACGCCCCUUCCCUUGAUCGAGCUCACGUGCGCGGGGUCGUUCACCAAGCCCAUCUUCCUCAUCACGCUUCCAGUGGCGGUCGUCCACUGGUUCAUCUUCACUAUGGGCCUCCUCGCACCGCACAAUGUCGUGGCAGUAGCCUACGCGGACGGCCGUCGGCCACCCGAGGUGGGUGCGCCUGCACGGCGGCUUGGAGGAGGAGGGGGGAAAGAUGGAUGAGGUGAAGGCGAUGGGCUCCGCCAUUGCGAUGAGAGACCUCACGUACAUGAUUGCCAUGAACCCGCGCGGGUUGUUCCGGUAAGCGAUCCCCGUGCCAGCCUCUGGGACGCGGACGCCAUGGAGGCCGUCGUGUACAUUGCCGAGGACGUGGCGCACUUCAUGGCGCUGUUCGGCUGCUACUGCAAGGUGCCGAGGGAGGGCAGCUUCCGGGUGGCCGGCCCCAGCACAAUCACGUCGGUGUGCUAUCAACUCGGACCCACCCCCCUCAUCUCCCGCAGCUCGUUGAUGCGUAUCAUCAUGCGAUGGAUCGUUGUUAUCUAGAUCAUUCCGACCGUGAGCACCGUUGGCUGGCUCGCGCUGGUCAAGGCGAAGUUUGUCUCCAUCCCCACGAGCCGGUCUUUUGAGACGGGGGUUGCCACUCUUGCUCUUCGCCUGAAUACUGCUUAGCGGUGUGCCGUAAGUGGACGUGUUCUUCCCUCCCCUGUGUCGCGGCAGGCCACUGCAGCAGUGUGAGGGGAGGAUGCGCUGAUCCGCAAGUACCUCGACGGGUCGUCUUUCAGUUUGGGAUGGCAACGACGGCGAAGCGGCUAGGACGACGAGUGGUCCGGAGGUGGUGGUCAAGACGGCGGCGACGGGCACCCCACAUGCGGCGCCCCUCGCGGCCCAAGACGAGGACGGUUGUAUCUCUCUCCGUUGCUGCCGAUGGCAGUCCUUUUACGAAGAAAGAGGGAAGGGAGCAUCCCGCACAGCGACAGCGACGAAGACAUUGGAGGGGCGGCGGCGGCGCCGACGCGGAUGACCACGGCGCCCAGACGGCGAGGCGGAGAACAAAAAACCGAGUCGAAUCCGCCGCGCCAUGGUCAGCAUUCCGCAUCAGCACCUAUCCUUGACAUGACUUCCACGGGCACGAUCUUGUCGAUCGAGUCCACGCGUGUAGAGGGAUGGAGGCACCCCAGACAAGCGCGCCAUCGCGCUCUCCACCGUUCGCCUGACGGUAUGCCGCCCCACUCGUGAAACCCGCGAGAAGAGAGGGAGAGGGUGGUUGACGGAAACAAAAAGUUUUAAAGGGUGCUGAUGGGCGUUAUUGCCCCCUCCCCCUCCGGCUCCUCUCCGCUUCGCGAUUCGUUGUCCUCCCUUCAUUGAUCGUUCCCUGGUGCUCAGUUCCAUGUGUGCUUGGGCAUGCGUGCGUGGGCAUGUCCGGAUAGCUGCGUGCGAACGCGUCGCCAGCACGGCACGCGUGCACUGGAGGAAACAACAUCGAAUUCAGUACCGAUGCAUGGUAGCCCUACAUGUCGCUCUCCCGCGCCACCAUCCGCCUCCGCGAUUCGCAUGGAUGUGUCAGCGCCCCGCUCGCCAACGGAAAACAAAAAGGUACGGAGGAAGUCGCGGCGGAUGCGGAGAGGAG
rnacentral:misc_RNA from 1 species